rnacentral:lncRNA from 1 species
GGGCAGGUCCUGGGAACCAGUGAGUUGUAGGCAAAGUUGAAGAGAACGACGGUCCACGCCCCUUCUAUCUCCCCUCUCCCUCCCCGCGCUGGGUGUGCCUUCCCCCCCCCCCCCCCCCCCCCGCCUCCGUGGCGCUCACUGGCCGUAAGCAUCUUGGGCAAGUCCCCUAGCUUUCUGAGCCUCAGUUUCCUUCCUUGUCAAAAGCCCAGGGCCGACUUGGGGCCCUGCCUGUUCUACCCCUCGCUAUCCCAUAUGCACAACACCCCCCACCCCCACCCCCCCAGACUGGUGUGAGGAAUCAGAAGGAUGAUGAAAGGGCCGUACCCACGGGGAUGCCAGCAGUCAGUGGCCCGGAGGGUUCCGUCGGGGAGGGUGUCCGUGGACACCCUCAGGCGCCUAGGCUGCCUGAGGACAGAAGUGAGAUCCUGGGGCGGAAGUGGGGGAGGGGUCAUCUCCCCCCUUCCCGGGAAAACCCUGGCCUUGGGCCCUCGGGGUGCACAUUCCCACAUCCUCUUUCGAUGCCCUGUCAUUACUGCCCUUGUGACCAGCCCACGCAGUUCUCCCACUGGGUUGGCCACCAAAGGGGAAGGAGUGCUCUGUGGUCAGUACUAUCUCUGGCAGGAACCAAGAAAAGGCAGCCAGUCCUGAGUGGCUGCAUGUGCUGCACUGCUGGUACCUCGGAGCAAGGCUGACUUCUCUGCCACAGCUCCUGCACAGACUGCCCUGUCCUCCAGAACUGCCCUGCAGGUGAUGGGCUGAGGCCACAGGACCAGUAAAGCUCAGCCAGAGGGAACAUCUUCCACAAGGCUCCAUGAGCCCAACAGCACUGUGGCCUUUCCCUCUGUACAGAAGCUCCAACAAAUAGAGCUCUGAACCCACAGCAGACAGUGUGUAGUGAUCUUUCAAAGGCGUGAGUGGGCCAAGUCUGAGGUACUGAAGAUCUGGACAAGAAAGUCCUUGCCACCAAAGUCUUUGGACCUGCCAAAUGAUUAACAGAAGGGAUAUUGUUUUAACAGUGGAAAUGACAUUAAAGAAGCUCCAUUACCAUAUGUCUGCCUACUGUUCCCUAAGGACCACUGGGCCUGUCCAUCUGACUGGUAGCUGAAGCCUCCUAUCUGUGAUGUCUCCCAGUAGGACGUAAACUCCUUGUGAGCAAGGACUCUCUCCCUUUUCCAUUUAUAUCCCUAGCACUUAACAUACUGAUAUAGGAAGCAUUUAAUAAAUGAUUUUUCAUUUAUCCA